CCACCGGAGCUUGCUCCACCGGAAAAAGAAGAGUGGCGAACGGGUGAGUAACACGUGGGUAACCUGCCCAUCAGAAGGGGAUAACACUUGGAAACAGGUGCUAAUACCGUAUAACAAUCGAAACCGCAUGGUUUUGAUUUGAAAGGCGCUUUCGGGUGUCGCUGAUGGAUGGACCCGCGGUGCAUUAGCUAGUUGGUGAGGUAACGGCUCACCAAGGCCACGAUGCAUAGCCGACCUGAGAGGGUGAUCGGCCACAUUGGGACUGAGACACGGCCCAAACUCCUACGGGAGGCAGCAGUAGGGAAUCUUCGGCAAUGGACGAAAGUCUGACCGAGCAACGCCGCGUGAGUGAAGAAGGUUUUCGGAUCGUAAAACUCUGUUGUUAGAGAAGAACAAGGAUGAGAGUAACUGUUCAUCCCUUGACGGUAUCUAACCAGAAAGCCACGGCUAACUACGUGCCAGCAGCCGCGGUAAUACGUAGG
rnacentral:rRNA from 1 species